UACGGAGGGAGCAAGCGUUACUCGGAAUUACUGGGCGUAAAGGGCGCGUAGGCGAUUUUGUAAGUCUUGUGUGAAAGCCCAAAGCCUAACUUUGGAAGUGCACAAGAUACUGCGAGAAUUGAGUUCCGGAGAGGAAGAUGGAAUUCCCGGUGUAGCGGUGAAAUGCGUAGAUAUCAGGAGGAACACCGGUGGCGAAGGCGGCUUUCUGGACAGAAACUGACGCUGAGGCGCGAAAGCUGGGGGAGCAAACGGG
rnacentral:rRNA from 1 species